rnacentral:rRNA from 1 species
GACGAACCGUGCGAACGUUAUUCGGAAUCAUUGGGCUUAAAGAGCGCGUAGGCGGCGACGUAAGUUGGAAGUGAAAUCCCAUCGGCUCAACCGUGGAAUCGCUCCCAGUACUGCGUUGCUCGAGGGAGAUAGGGGCCUGUGGAACUGCCGGUGGAGCGGUGAAAUGUGUUGAUAUCGGCGGGAACGCCAGUGGCGAAAGCGACAGGCUGGACCUUUUCUGACGCUGAGGCGCGAAAGCUAGGGGA